CGGGGGGAUGGCGCUCGUGGGGCUGCGCUUGCUGCUGUUGUUCUUGGUCGGGGACUCGGCAGCCUCUUUGAAUGCUCAAUUUAGUCAACAUUCAGAACAUAGAACACCAAACUGUGAUCAGUAUAAAUUACCAGGAUGUCCCAGGGACUUUAGCCCUGUGUGUGGAAGCGACAUGUCCACUUAUCCCACUGAGUGUGUUCUAUGCAUGAAAAUCAGUCCAGCCACAAGAACUCAAGAGGGUAGAGGGGGAAAUUUCUUUUACCCUGACAGUUGGUGAGCCAGGAGGAUCCUGGCUGGAAGCCACUUCCCAACCUGAGGCUCCUGCAGCUAAGAGAUCCUGGGCCCUCUGAUAAAGACCAGCAGAAGGGAUGAUGGUCAUGAUAUUAAAAUAAUCCGAAGUGGACCAUGCUGAUGGAGCAGUUCACAGAAGAGGAACUGGAGAAACCACCUUCCACUGCACACUAAAUGAACUUCAUUUCCUGCUUUUCUCUUUUCCUGUAUUUCUUUGCAUGAGAUUUUCUGAGAUGAGUUGUGUAAGAGGGCAGUGACUGAUAAAACAACUACAAAAUCCUCAUUUUUGGCUUUUAUCCUUUUAGUUAAGCUUAUUGCCCAUAUGACCUAUGCAUUGCUUUAUUUAAUUGGAAUAAAAUCAGCACUGUAUUUAAUCACCACA